rnacentral:misc_RNA from 1 species
GAUGAAGAACGUAGCGAAAUGCGAUAAGUAAUGUGAAUUGCAGAAUUCAGUGAAUCAUCGAAUCUUUGAACGCACCUUGCGCCCUUUGGCCAUUCCGAAGGGCAUGCCUGUUUGAGUAUCAUGAACACCUCAACUCUCAUGGCUCGCCAUGAUGAGCUUGGACUUUGGGGGUCUUGCUGGCCUGUGGUCGGCUCCUCUCAAAUGGAUCAGCUUGCCAGUGUUUGGUGGCAUCACAGGUGUGAUAACUAUCUGCGCUUGUGGUUUUCCAUCAGAUAACCUUCAGUGAUGGAGGUUCGCUGGAGCUCAUAAACGUCUCCCCUAAGCGGGGACAGCCCUUUGAAUGUUUGAUCUCAAAUCAGGUAGGACUACCCGCUGAACUUAAGCAUAUCAAUAAGCGGGAGGA